rnacentral:rRNA from 1 species
UGNGUNGAGUUGUUUGGGAAUGCUGCUCAAAAUGGGAGGUAAACCCCUUCUAAAGCUAAAUACCGGCCAGAGACCGAUAGCGCACAAGUAGAGUGAUCGAAAGAUGAAAAGCACUUUGAAAAGAGAGUUAAACAGCACGUGAAAUUGUUGAAAGGGAAGCGCUUGCGACCAGACUUGCGCCCGUCGGAUCAACCGUCCCUCGUGGGCGGCGCACUCCGGCGGGCUCAGGCCAGCAUCAGUUUUCCUGGGGGGAGAAAGGCGGUGGGAAUGUAGCUCUUCGGAGUGUUAUAGCCUGCCGCAUAAUGCCCCCGGGGGGACUGAGGACCGCGCGAAAGCAAGGAUGCUGGCGUAAUGGUUGUCAGCGACCCGUCUUGAAACACGGA